GGAACGGAAAAAAGCCACUGAGUGGGGGCAGGUGCCAAGGGGCUCGGCUUCCUGAGGGCUGAUGUUCUGACGCUUCUGAGAACCACGCACCAGGUGCCAGGCUGAGCCCUGGACUGGCUUCAUUUACUGGAACCUACCUAAAUUAGCCCAUGUGACCUCACCACCACCCGAAGAGGGGUGGCCACUGCUCCAACCUCCAGAUCAGGAAAUGGAGACCAGAGGUUGUGUAACUUUGCCUGAGGCCUCAAGGAUCUGAGCUGUCCCAGUUUCCGCUGUUGCCGUUGGCCCAAGUUGCUGGCACACCCUCGGAGCUGUGCCCUGAAAGGCAGCACAGAUCAGAGGAGAAGAAAAGGAGUUUCAGAGCAACAGAACAGAGCAGAGGGGUCUGAGUCCAUUAACAAAGAAGGAAGAGGCCUGGAAGGAAUCCUGCUCCUCUCCAGUUUCUGCUCCAGGGAAACACAGGAUACAGCUCCCCAGACUCUUGGAAGCGGAGUGUGCAGCCACCAUUUCCCAGAGCAGACCCACAGCCUUCCACAGAGAGUCUACCUGCAGUUCUCACCUGGCUUGACACCCACUCGGCCAAGACGUCACAGGGUAUUUUCCACUUAAAAAGCUUAAUUGUCCAGCAGCCACAUUUCUUCCAAACUUAUCCCUGAGGCUUGGUGGAGGGAACUGCAGCUGACAGCUUAACAGGAAGAAAGAAGACUCUGAGCUGUGCCCUUUUCCUCUCUGCUCCAUGCCUGUGGCCACACGGUAGCAUGUCACCCACACACACACUGCUAGUGGGGCCUCUCACUGGAAUGGGCAGGGGAGCCAGGACAGUCUGCCCGUGAGCUCCAGCUGCAUUAGGAGAGGCAGUGGCAGCUGCCCCUGCAUCCCAGGGUGGAUGCUCUCAGCCCACACCUGGACAGCCACCUGUGCCAUUCUCAUCCGACACCCGUGCCUUAUUCCACCUGUGAGAUGGACCUGACCUGGUGGGCCUGUGCCUCAGAAACAGCCUGCAGUUGCCCACCAGCUCCCAUCAGACUGCUAGGGGUGCUUCCCAGGAGGCCCUGAGCUCACAGCUAAUGCCAUUGAAAAGUCUGGGGGUGGCAGGUUGUCACCCAAAGUGGACUGAGGGGCUGGAGAGGACUUGAUAUCUCUGCAGAGUUGCACAUUGCAGGGGCUGCCUGAGCACAGGCUGAAUAGGCUCAGCAGGGCUGAGCUUCCAAAGCCCCCACCAAUUCUCAUACUCCAUGAGGAUGCCCCCACUCCUGGGGUACCAUGGAGUGGCCAAGGAGCAAGCUUCUCUGUAAAUGAAACAGGAGGUGUGAGCCACCAGAGGACAGUAGAUGAGUAGGAAAAGGGGUCUGGGAACAGUUUCCAGACCUCCUUCCAGCACCAAGAAACUUCUAAGGCAGCCAGGUAUCAUCACAGGACAUGGGGACAUGUGAACUCAGGACUGCUGCUUUUCCUAAAUCUUCCUUUUUCUCUAUUCAAACUCUGUGCUUCAAUAUUCCCAAGUAAAAGUAGCAAGAAUAUGAAUAGCAACAUUUACUAGGUACCAAGGGGGUCCAAGCACAUUUACUAUUAACUCAUUUAAUCCCAAGGGAGGCACAAGACAGCUUGGGAAGGAGAAACAGCCUGCAUGUUUUCCUCGUUUUUGUUGGGAGAACUGGAGAGAUGGGAUCUUGAAGAAACUCACAAGGAGGAUUUCCCUCUGAAAAGAUACGUCUGUGCUGUGUGGAGGAACCAAGGGGGAAAAGAAGGAACAAGAGAGGAUCGUGGUUUCUGGGGUGGCACAGGGGAAGACCUGGCCCAUGUUCUUGGCUCCUUUGAGGAAGAGGCAGAUGGAAACAUGAGCACCAGUCCCCCGCCCAAGGCUGAUGUGGAAGCAGGGCCAAGUGGUUGUCACACUGGAUAGUGGGUGUCUCAAUAGCACAUGUAGACUGAGCAUCAAGGGCCGUGGGACAGCCCCCAGAGCUCUCGGUCAGGCCCCAAGAAUAUGCCACAUUCUUUACAUGUGAGGAGGAUUGAGCUAGUUAGGUUUCCCAACAGUCUGGCAGGGGAUGGGAGUACAAUCAGAUAUUACACUGUUACAGGAAAAUUAAGUCAGUUCUCUUUCUUUCUGAGUUUUUGGACUGAGAUUCACAUAUGUUGUGUUUUUCUUUCAAUUCCCAACUUAACACUAGGUAGUUCUUCAAAAAUGUUUACUGAAUGAGUAUAAGCACUGGAGUAGAAAAAGAAUAUUACAGAUAUGUAAUAGGCCAGUGGUUCUCCACGUAUGGUACUGGAACCCCUGGAGGUGUCCAAGAUCCUUUCAUAAUAAUCCAAAGACAUUAAGUACUUUUUUCACUCUCAUUCUCUCACAGUUGAGUUUCCACUUAAAAAGUUUUCCUCAACUGUGAGAGCUACAUGAUGCGUGUUAUUGCAACUGAUUAAAUGCAGAAGCAGAUAUUGCAAUCCACUGUCUUCUAUUAAGCCAGACAUUAAAACCAUUUGCAAAAUGUAAAAUAAUGCCACUUUUUAAAUUAAUGUUUUUUGAAAGCCACUUGACCUCUCCAGGCUCAUGUACCAAAUGCAGGCACUGGUCGGAUGAGCUCUCAGGGCUCCGUCCUCAUAGGCAGAGGCAGAGACGGAAGCUCAGUAGAGUCAAAGCGGCCCCUCUGAAAUUAUUGUUCCCUGAGUACACCAUGGGAAUGCUGCAGGAUGGGUUUGCUGGCUAAAAGUAACUGCCCUAAGGCCUGGGGGUCAAAGGGCUCCUCUCAGAGCCAGAGCCAGAUGAUGUCAGUGCCCAGGCACCAUCAGCAUUCCUGGGUGGCUCAGGUCUGUGGGUGGCUGCUCGGGAAUCUGCCAUCCCUUUGUGCCUCCAGAGAUGCCACCUCUACUCUCUAACUGAGCCCAAAAUGCAGGCACACAUGUGCAUGCAUGCACACUAUAUCAAAUGCUGGAAGUAAUAUGAUUUAGACUCUGAUGCUCUUUCAGGGAAGCCUCGGUGGAGAAACAAAACUGACGGCCUUGCUUUCAGCCAGCCACCCCUGCCCCACGUGGCAGCCUCUGCAAGCAGAAAUGCUAGGCGAGGGCAGGCUGCCCUCCCAGGGCUGUGACAUCCCCCCUUUCUGGCCCGGGCCCAGCCAGUGCUGCAACCCAUGCUCCUUUGUGGGUCACUUGGAAGCCUGCUCUUGAACAUGGUUAUAAAUGCCCAAUAAUAAACAAACACGAGCUCUUCUGAAAUGUUCCCAGGAAUAGCCAACUGCCCAAAUUGCCAAGGUUGUUUUUCAGAUCCUGGGAAAAAAAGAAAUGGAGUAUGGUUUAUUUUUUCCAUGCCCAAAGCAGAAUCAUUGGUCACAUAGGUCCAAUUUUAGCUUUCUGGUUCCAUUUUUU